CGGUGCCAGCAGCCGCGGUAAUUCAGCUCCAAUAGCGUAUAUUAAAGUUGUUGCNGUUAAAAGCUCGUAGUUGAAUUUCGGGGUUAGUAGGUUGGUCAUGCCUCUGGUAUGUACUGGUCUCACUGAUUCCUCCUUCCUGAUGAGCCGUAAUGCCAUUAAUUUGGUGUUGCGGGAAUUUGGACUGUUACUUUGAAAAAAUUAGAGUGUUUAAAGCAAGCUAACGCUUGAAUACAUUAGCAUGGAAUAAUGAAAUAGGACGUUCGAUCCUAUUUUGUUAGGUUUCUAGGAUUGACGUAAUGAUUAAUAGGGAUAGUUGGGGGCAUUAGUAUUCAAUUGUCAGAGGUGAAAUUCUUGGAUUUAUUGAAGACUAACUACUGCGAAAGCAUUUGCCAAGAAUGUUUUCAUUAAUCAAGAACGAAAGUUAGGGGGAUCGAAGACGAUCAGAUACCGUCGUAGUCUUAACCAUAAACUAUGCCGACUAGGGAUCGGAUGAUGUUAAUUUUUUAAUGACUCAUUCGGCGCCUUACG
rnacentral:rRNA from 1 species